rnacentral:sRNA from 1 species
UCUAGUGAAGCGACGGACAUCGACGCCGA